rnacentral:lncRNA from 1 species
UCAUUUGUUUUAAAAUUUUGAGUUUUCAGGUCUAAAAUGGUUCAUCCCCUUUUGUGGUUGCAGUUUUACUGAUCUGGACACACCACCUUCUCAGGUCUAAAAUUUUGAGUUUUCAGGUCUAAAAUGUAACUGAUGUAAAGAUUUGUCCAUCCCUUGGUUAGUCUUUUGAUCUACUGGUAUUUUAUGAGGCUUGGCUUUUUGAAAUAAAAAAAUUUGCUUAGAUUUUGACCUUUGUUGUAUGCGUGAUGGCAGACAGAAUCCGACUUUUUUUCCAGCUGGUGCACUGAGGGAGGCGUUUGAUGUAGCAACUGUAAGUAUCGAACCUAAUGAACUUCCUUUUAAUUAUUUUUGUGUGGUUUCACCUGUUACACGCUCUGUUAAUUUCUUAGAUUUAUACAAGUUUGUUAUUGAACAAGAACAUCUCAUGAUGGUUGUCUUAUUGUCUGUAGGCCUUUAAAAAACAAUGCCAUGAUUGAUUCAUUCCCCACUGGUAUAUUCAAAGUUCUAGGUCUAUACAUCAAUACAUGUAUAUUGCUUCUAAAGAUCUUGCAAAUUUGGAAGCUAAAAUUAGAUAAAAUGAUAUAAGUUUUUAGGUUAAUUCUAAUGUAAUGCAAUUUCAACUUCCUCUGGACUCUUGAAAGUAACUAUUUUGUUUGCCUGCAGUAUGUUCGUCCAGCAGAGGAUGCUCUUCAGUGGAAAAUUCUGAAACCUUAUUCAGCUUUGAUGUAUAGCUGGCACAGUUUGUUAAUAAUCUCUAUGAACAUUUGUACAAAUGGUGAUAAAAAAGUUCUUUUAUAACCAUGGAAUCAUGACAUGGAAUGUAUUAUUAAUGUGUAUACCUUCAAUGUGGAUUAUCGAAGACUACUUUCGUUUCAUAUUCAUGCAAAAAACUUCUCCGGGAAUGUUGAAAUUUUUGCUUGUACUGUCUUUUCCUGGAGUCAUUGAAAUAUCCCCUUGCACAGAAAUUUGUUUUCUACUGAAUUUUUGUCAAGAUACUCUGGUACUAACAUUUAACUAUUUUGUAGGAAUGAAGAGCUCAAGGGAGCAAAAGGAACAAGGAGAAAGGAGCGCUCAAGAGAAGUGAACUCAAAGUCCAAGAUGCAAUCUUCACAUAGCUCACAAAUAUUAACCAGUAAACACUACUUGAUUCGUGAUGGCAUUGGACCAGACACACAACAUCCAGUUCUAUAAUAAGUAUAUUCGUGAUUGCAUUGGACCAGACACAUGGAGAUGCUCCUUUUCGCCGAGGAGUGUAGCUUGUAAUCGAAGUUGGCGCUACAAAGCUUGUUCUCAAAACCGACAACCAACUUAUGGCGCAGGUUAUUAACUCAGAUGUUAUCGACCGAUCCAGGUUUGGUCCUCUUGUCUAGGAGAUAAAGAAGAUGAUGUGAGGCAUCGACAAGUUCUGAGUGGCUUGGGCCAGGAGAAUAGCAAACAAAGCUGCUCAGAUCUUAGCUAGGGAGGGUUGCCUUUUAAUGCAAAACUUGGUUUAGUGUUUCUACAGAUUGUAUUCAAGAUGUUGUACUGGCAGAUAAUGCCAUGAACUAAAUAAUAACAAGGCAUCAAUUUCCUUUAAAAAGUAUGUUAUCUUAUAGCAGGUGCAUCGUAUCAAAGAUACAUAUUUCAUGCAAUUAAUGUUGAACCACUAGAAUACUUAUGUUCCCGUUGCAACGCACGGGCAAUUUCCUAGUAUACUAAACAACUUGAACUGGUAAUACACAACUAAAUUGGCUAUUAAGCAAGUUCAGGUUUCUUAUCCAAAUAAGGAUGAGAAAUCUGCUCCUAAAAUAACAAUGCUAUGUGCAGACUUGGAGAAUGACAUGAAAGGCUAUUUACUACUCCAUAAGUACACAAGUAGUAUUUGCAUCAGUACAGCUACACUAGCACAUAUUAGCAAAUUAUAGGCAAGUUUGUGGUUUCAAAAAAAAAAGUCUGCAACAGAUAUAUUUUCGGGCAAUACAUGUUCACAGGGACCAUAGCACCUACGCAGCAAUGAUUUCUUUUCCGAUUUUGCUGCUGCGCUUCAUCCUUUUCAAAUUCUGGGCACCCUGAGCCAAAGAAACAACUGGUAUAAGAAUAUGCAUUAAGACGCGAAAGAUAACUGUACUUUUUUGUGUGAGAAAAGAUAACUAGAGUUAGCUAGCAAGCAUCAAAUUUUGUUCAAGUUAGUCUCGUCAAUAUAUGUCCUUGUGCAAUGCACAAUGAACAUGAAAAUUAGCAUCAGAGCUAAGUCAGAGACAACUAAAACAUGACAUUCUUUCGCAGAGUACAACAUGAACGCAUACUGCAUACGCACUUCUGCAGAAGCUAGAGACAACCAACGUUUUACACAGUAUAAAUAAAUGAGUUCCCACCUCAGCAUUACAUCAAAGUUUUACACAGUAUAAAUAAAUGAGUUCCCACCUCAGCAUUACAUCAAACACGUGGUACACACAACAUUCAUCUAUGCUUAACACAACCAAUUAAGUAACUAUGCUUUUAAAUAAGCUACUUCUUUUUCGGAGCACACAUGAGCACCCUGUGUGUGUGAUUAGCUCUCGGGGGUUAAAUAGUACAUGCUCGAUUGCAGAGACCAGACAUCCAUUACAUGUAAGGCAAUAGCAGGUAUAUACUGAUCUGCCAUGAGAGGUUCAAUCUAUGCACCUCGUGGUCAAAUAUCAACAGUGCAUGAUACACAUUAUAAACUCUAAAGUUGUGCUAAAACUG